rnacentral:rRNA from 1 species
GGCUCAGAACGAACGCUGGUAGCGUGGAUUAGGCAUGCAAGUCGAACGGGAUCCAUGAAGUAGCAAUACUUUAUGGUGAGAGUAGCGGAUUGGGGAGGAACACGUGAGCAACCUGCCUUGAGUUGGGAAAACCAUUGGAAACGAUGGCUAAUACCGGAUGUGGCGCCUGGGGACAUCCCCGGAGCGCUAAAGGGGGCGACCCGCAAGGGGCUCCCGCUCAUUGAAGGGCUCGCGCACCAUCAGCUUGUUGGCGGGGUAACGGCCCACCAAGGCUUACGGUUAGCUGGUCUGAGAGGAUGACCAGCCCCACUGGGACUGAGAUACUGCCCAGACUCCUACGGGAGGCUGCAGUCGAGGAUCAUUUGCAAUGGGCGAAAGCCUGACAAUGCGACGCUGCGUGGAGGAUGAAGGCCUUCGGGUUGUAAACUCCUGUCAUAAGGGAACAGGCGAUCCUACCUAAUACGUAGGAAAGUUGAGUGUACUUUAAGAGGAAGGGACGGCUAACUCUGUGCCAGCCGCCGC